CUGGCUGCAGGCAUGUGAGGCACUGGGAUAAACUGGGAGUGCCUGGAACAGGGAGUGGUGUCCAUGGGACACUGGGAUGGUUGAGAGAAAGUAAGUGUCAGGUGCUGGUCUGAACUGGGGGCACUGGGCUGUACUGGGAACAGGGCUAUGUGUGAGGUGCUGUCAUAACUGGGCAUGUGGCUGCAGGUGAGGUGCUGGUAUGAACUGGGAGCACUGGGCUGUACUGGGAACAAGCUGUGCGGGCAUGAUGUGCUGUCCAGAACUGGGGGCACUUGCCUGUAUUGGGGAUGGGGCUGUGUGUGAGGUGCUGGUCGGAACUGGGAAUACUGGGCUGUACUGGGGAUGGGGCUGCGUGUGAGGUGCUGGUCUGAACUGCAGGCACUGGGUUAUACAGGGAACCAUGGAGGGUUAUACAGGGGCACUGGGGGCUCGAGAUGCUGGUCAGAACUGGGGCACUGGGGGUUCGAGAUACUAGUCAGAACUGGGGCACUGGGGGUUCGAGAUACUGGUCAGAAGCGGGGCCAUGGGGGUUCGAGGUGCUGGUCAGAACUGGGGCCAUGGGGGUUCGAGAUGCUGGUCAGAACUGGGGCCAUGGGGGUACGAGAUGCUGGUCAGAACUGGGGCCAUGGGGGUACGAGAUGCUGGUCAGAACUGGGGCACUGCGGGUACGAGGUGCUGGUCAGAAGCGGGGCCAUGGGGGUACGAGAUGCUGGUCAGAACUGGGGCCAUGGGGGUACGAGAUGCUGGUCAGAACUGGGGCACUGGGGGUUCGAGAUGCUGGUCAGAAGCGGGGCCAUGGGGGUACGAGGUGCUGGUCAGAAGCGGGGCCAGGGGGGUUUGAGAUGCUGGUCAGAAGCGGGGCCAGGGGGGUUUGAGAUGCUGGUCAGAAGCGGGGCACUGCGGGUACGAGGUGCUGGUCAGAACUGGGGCACUGGGGGUACGAGACGCUGGUCAGAACUGGGGCACUGGGGGUACGAGAUGCUGGUCAGAACUGGGGCACUGAGGGUUCGAGAUGCUGGUCAGAAGCGGGGCCAUGGGCUGCACCGGGCUCGGGCCGGGGGCGGCGGGCAGGGCCGCACGGGCAGGG
rnacentral:lncRNA from 1 species